rnacentral:rRNA from 1 species
CGCUGAAUUUAAGCAUAUCAAUAAGCGGAGGAAAAGAAACUAACGAGGAUUCCCUUCGUAACGGCGAGUGAGGAGGGAAAAGCCCAGCACCGAAGUUUGCGGCAGGUUUGUCGUUAAACAAUGUGGUGUGAGGGCCGGCUCGCGUGAUCAUCACUCCACCCGAAGUCCAGCAUUGAGUAUGGUUUUGACAAUGGAUUUGGCCCAUAGAGGGUGAGAGGCCCGUACGGGUGGAGGUGCAGACAUGUGCGAUGAUUAACCAGGUCGGCCUCAGAGUCGGGUUGUUUGAGAUUGCAGCCCAAAGAGGGUGGUAAACUCCAUCCAAGGCUAAAUACUAGCACGAGUCCGAUAGCGAACAAGUACCGUGAGGGAAAGUUGAAAAGUACUCUGAAGAGAGAGUAAACAGUACGUGAAACUGCAUGCAGGUAAACGGAUGGCGUCAAGCUGCGAGCCCAGAGGAUUCAGCUGGUUGGGGUGUAGUUGCGCACGCUCGGUGCGUCACUGGCCAGAAUAAGAUGUGUGUGGUCCACUCCUCUGCUGGGAGUGGGGUCGCAGUCCGAGGGGUGUUGGGGUGUUGGGGUGUGUGUGUGCUCGCGCGCGCGCACGCCUCGGCUCCUAGCAUUCGCGGGCUGUUGGCUUUGCGUGCCGGAUGGGUGCCGGAGCAUGCCACAUGCCUGUUGGGCCACCCAGUCAGUGCACUUUCUCUGUGGUGAACACCACGACCGGUGGAACUGCCAGUCUGCUGUGGUCAAGUCGUGCUUGCUUGGCGCAAGUAAUUGUGCCUGGUGGGUGCGAUCGCAGGCGGAGUAGGCAGACGGCGCAGUGGCAUCUCGGUGCUGCUGUGUGCUAUCGUUUGCUCUCUGUCGUAAACAGCCAGCAGGCGGACUGAGUCCUGCGACGACUUGCUUGUUGGCUGGCGGAGCGCAGUGGUGAAAGUGACUGUGCAGGGCACCGGAGUUGGCCACCUCACCUCGGUAAUGGCGUGUGUGGGCUCGCCCCUCACACGCUUGUUGCCGGGGCCAUGGUACUCGGCACGCACGUUGCAGGUGCAAGGCAAUGGCGUUGGGCUGCUGUGUGUCCUGGCGAUUUACCGGGCCUGACUGUCGUGUUGCUCGCGCAUAAAAGCGGGUCCGACAGUGGUCACGGCGUGAGGCAUGCAUGCGUAGUGCCCGGUGCCGGUGCAUGUGGUACCGGGGGUGAAAUAGUCAGUGGUGCUGUGGUAGACUAGCUAUCCGACCCGUCUUGAAACACGGACCAAGGAGUUUAACAUGUGUGCGAGUCAAAGGGUCGUACGAAACCCCUAGGCGCAGUGAAAGUGAAGUUCAUGCCGUAUCUCCUCACACAUGUGCGAUGCGGUGUGGCGAGGUGAGAUCCUGUUGUACUCAUGACACACGUGCCUCGUGAACCGAGCAUUGUAGUAGGGGCAACAGGCGCAUCACCGGCCCGUCUCAUGAUGUGGUCACUUGGCUGAGGCAUGGUUUAUAUUAUUUAGGCUGUGUGGCGGCCUGUGCGUCAUCGGGGCGGAGCAUGAGCACACACGUUGAGACCCGAAAGAUGGUGAACUAUGCUUGCGUAGGUUGAAGCCAGAGGAAACUCUGGUGGAGGACCGUAGCGAUUCUGACGUGCAAAUCGAUCGUCAAACGUGAGUAUAGGGGCG